UAUCAAUAAAAAUGUUUUUACAGCAUUGUUGUUGGUACACCUAUAUCUGAUUCUGUAUAUGUCAUAUGUAUGUACAUAAUUGUGUUUUCCCAACUCAAUAAUCUGCCUAGCUGUAACAUUCUCAUGUGUUCUGUUGUUGAAUCCAUCAUUUUCCUGGAUUUCUAAAGUUUAUUUGUAGUGAAUCACUUUAGUUGGGAAGGUUUUG
rnacentral:misc_RNA from 1 species